AUUAAUCUAUGAAUUAUAUUGUUAAUUUGUUAAUUUGUUAAUUUAUUAAUUUAUUCUCUUAUUUUUAACCUGAACAGAUUUGGAAAUGAAAGAAAUUGAAGCAAAAUUGAGGGAAAAAAACGAAUGAAAUAUAUUUUCAAGUUUAAUUGCCAAUGACUGUUAAUACCAAAGCCAAGGACGCAAUGGAAAUCACGAGGCUCAGAUUGCCCUGAAUCCUGAGAAGCUCAACAUUUUUCAGCUGUUAUUGAUUACGGAAGCAUCUUUAAUGGAGAAACACUUUCACCUAGUCACACCAAUCGGUUGUACCAUGAAAUUUUAAUCCUAACCAAUCCAUCAAAAAAGCUCAAUUAUUGUUAAAUAAUAAUGAAACCUGUAAGACCUGCUAUAGGAUUUGCAUUUGUUGAUGUCUAAUGUUCAAUUGAAAUGGGAAACAGGAACAAAAUGAUUAAGGUCAACGAAAGUCGAGUUUUAAUGGCAGCUUGGAUUAGAAGUAAAAAGCAACUUCUCAUGACAAUGGUUAUAAUUGUAGAUCAUGGAUCAUGAUAUCAACUCUGUGGAAGAAAAGUGCGUCAUAAAAGGAACCAAACAACACCAUUAAUGUAUCAUCACCAUAACCAUCAGAAUAAUCAUCGGAAUAUCUAUUGUAAACGUUGCUGUUGUAGGUAACUGUCAUUGAUGAUGUGUAAGCCUUAUUUAUACACCUAAAUUUUUGAUCAACUCAUCGUCAUCUCUAAUUUACAUGAUUGUCAAAAGGAAACAACAAUUAGCUAAUGAAGACUGUUAUAAAGAAAUGCUGAGAAACAUCAUUUAACGAAAUAAUGAUGAGCCUUAAAAGCCUUGGUUUUUCGUUUCCACUUGACUUAGGCCUAACUCAAUACAAACAGUGUUAACCUUGUUUCCUCGUAACACAUUUGUUCCUACAUUUACAAAGCCCAAUGUUGCUACCAAGUUUAAUUGUUCAACAAUCUAACUAUUAUUGUUUUACAAUAUAUUAAUAAUACAUCAAAUGCCCUGCGGAUGGUUACAUGAAAAAAACAAAGGAUGGUCACCAAGUCAGCUUCAUCUUAACUCAUCUCAUUACCUCUAUCAUUGUAAAUUAUCAGCAAUACAACAGAAGCUUGCUCAUAAACCUGAAAAUAAAAUCCAUAAACAUGAUAAUAGUUUAUGAUCAGUAUUUUAUAUAUUAUUUAACAAUCAUAAUAUUGAGGUGGUUUCAUUUCUGUCUGUGUGGUUACAUAUUAAAUGUAAAUUUAAGCAUUUCUGAAGCCUCCAGGUAAUCAUUUGAUUACAAAGCUUUAUAGCUUCUCAUUUCAUAUUCAAAGGAUAGAUUUAGAGUGCAACGUUUGAACAUUGAUUGACCAGUUUGCCUAAUUGUUACCAUCAACAGUAAAACCAAUAAAAUCUCAUUUACAUCAACAAUUAAUGGCUACAAGGCUAACUAAUCUUGUUAACAUCAAUACAAACAUCAAUGGAUUCGCAAUUGAUUCCAAUCAAUAACAACAAUUGAAACUAAUACAACCUUCCUUUGUA